CGUACACUCCUACGGGAGGCAGCAGUGGGGAAUUUUGGACAAUGGGCGAAAGCCUGAUCCAGCCAUGCCGCGUGCAGGAUGAAGGCCUUCGGGUUGUAAACUGCUUUUGUACGGAACGAAACGGCCUUUUCUAAUAAAGAGGGCUAAUGACGGUACCGUAAGAAUAAACACCGGCUAACUACGUGCCAGCAGCCGCGGUAAUACGUAGGGUGCAAGCGUUAAUCGGAAUUACUGGGCGUAAAGCGUGCGCAGGCGGUUAUGUAAGACAGUUGUGAAAUCCCCGGGCUCAACCUGGGAACUGCAUCUGUGACUGCAUAGCUAGAGUACGGUAGAGGGGGAUGGAAUUCCGCGUGUAGCAGUGAAAUGCGUAGAUAUGCGGAGGAACACCGAUGGCGAAGGCAAUCCCCUGGACCUGUACUGACGCUCAUGCACGAAAGCGUGGGGAGCAAACAGGAUUAGAUACCCUGGUAGUCCCA
rnacentral:rRNA from 1 species